rnacentral:rRNA from 1 species
AACGAACGCUGGCGGCAUGCCUAACACAUGCAAGUCGAACGAGACCUUCGGGUCUAGUGGCGCACGGGUGCGUAACGCGUGGGAAUCUGCCCUUGGGUCCGGAAUAACUCAGAGAAAUUUGAGCUAAUACCGGAUGAUGACGUAAGUCCAAAGAUUUAUCGCCCAGGGAUGAGCCCGCGUAGGAUUAGCUAGUUGGUGAGGUAAAGGCUCACCAAGGCGACGAUCCUUAGCGGUCUGAGAGGAUGAUCAGCCACACUGGGACUGAGACACGGCCCAGACUCCUACGGGAGGCAGCAGUGGGGAAUAUUGGACAAUGGGCGAAAGCCUGAUCCAGCAAUGCCGCGUGAGUGAUGAAGGCCUUAGGGUUGUAAAGCUCCUUUUACCCGGGAUGAUAAUGACAGUACC